rnacentral:rRNA from 1 species
AUUGAACGCUGGCGGCAGGCCUAACACAUGCAAGUCGAGCGGAUGAAGGGAGCUUGCUCCUGGAUUCAGCGGCGGACGGGUGAGUAAUGCCUAUGAAUCUGCCUGGUAGUGGGGGAUAACGUCCGGAAACGGGCGCUAAUACCGCAUACGUCCUGAGGGAGAAAGUGGGGGAUCUUCGGACCUCACGCUAUCAGAUGAACCUAGGUCGGAUUAGCUAGUUGGUGGGGUAAUGGCCUACCAAGGCGACGAUCCGUAACUGGUCUGAGAGGAUGAUCAGUCACACUGGAACUGAGACACGGUCCAGGCUCCUACGGGAGGCAGCAGUGGGGAAUAUUGGACAAUGGGCGAAAGCAUGAUCCAGCCAUGCCGCGUGUGUGAAGAAGGUCUUCGGAUUGUAAAGCACUUUAAGUGGGGGGGAAGGGCAGUAAGUUAAUACCUUGCUGUUUUGACGUUACCAACAGAAUAAGCAACGGCUAACUUCGUG